rnacentral:lncRNA from 1 species
GCCAUUCCUAAUGCAAACCACUUUGCGGUGUGUGCUGGAUGCUCCUAAUGUAGCACCAGCAUGAGUGCUUUUUACAUGGGGCUGACGUGCGUGUUUGUACAUAUCAGAAUGAAUUUGUAUAUAUGUAAAGUGUCUGUUACACAAGGCAUGUUUGUAAGAUUCAGUGUAUGCAUACACAAUGUGAGGUGUGUGAAUGAAUGUAUGUGUGUGUGCAUUAUGCAUUUCAACAUUAGAAUAGAUCCAUUUGUUUCUGUGAACAUCAAAAUUGGUAUAUGCUUUUGUGUGUGUGUGUAUGGAUAAGAGGUAUGAGGUGUCUGCAUAUAUAUGUGUGUGUAUAUAUAUAUAUAUAUAUAUAUAUAAAAUGUAUCUUAGUCUGUGAUAUGUGUGAAGUGUCAGUGAGAUGUAGGAUGUAUGCACAGUGUAUCUAUGAUGUAUGUGUGUGUGUCUGAUAGAACACUUAGAAUGAAGUGAUAAAAUAAAUCACAAAGAUUAAUCAUUUAGAGACACCAUCCACAUGACAAAACAACAGUUAAGUUAGUGUUAACAUAUUUAAUGUAAUGAGCAUCAAAAAUGUAAUUAGAAACAAUUAUGUGGUGAGGAAAACACAACAUUAGCUCAAUGACUAAUAUAGUUUUAAUUAUUCCAGCAAGUAAGGGAUAUAACUUCAGACAUGUUUCAGUUUUAUUAGAUUUCCACAGUAUAACAGACGUCACCAUACUUGCUGGUGUAUUGUUGAGAGAAUCACUAAGUAGAUGUACAACAGUGUACACAAGGAGAUGUGAAAAUAUUUAAAUAUUUAAAAAAAUAAUUCACUGUAGUUAAUUACUCAGAGACGUCAUCUGCAUGAAAAAAACAAUAGUUAAGUUAGUGUUAGCAUAUUUAAUAAAGUGAGAAUCUCCCCCAAAAAUCUAAUUAGAAUUAUGCAGUGAAGAAAUGACAUCAUUAGCUGAACGACUAAUAUUAUUUUAAUCCUUUUGUUGAGUAUGGGAGACAACUCUGGACAUAUUUCAGUAUUAUUAGACCUCAUCAGUGAAGUGUACACUUCAGUCUAUUUGCUGAAGCAGUGUUGAGAGUAUCAUUAGCAAUGUCAACAGACAAGUGGAGUGGACAAAAAAAAAAAAAAAAAAAAUUCAGGACAUAUAUGAGUUUAUAAAAAAAGUAAUAUAAAUAUUAAAAGAAAAUUCAAUUUACAAAGACAUCUACAGAAGUCAUAUCAUUUUGCUCCUCUAUUAAAAAAAAACAAAACCAAGUAACAAGGGAGCCUAUAAAUAAUCAUUUAACUUGCUACAAAUAGCAGCUAAAUCUUCCACAUAAUCACUCCUUACCAUCUUAAAAAAGAAGGAUGAGCUUGAAAAAAAGCGCAAAAAAACGGGCGUUCGACCUUAAUAUGUCUGUUUAGAUAAUGAAAACAACAAAAUAGCUGAAUGCAUCAUUAUGAAGCAAUUACAUUAAAAACUGAACGGAAUCAAUAGUCAUAAGGUGGAAGGGUGAGCGGAAAUUGUACAAAUUUCUUACAAUGAUGAUUGAAUCCAUGCAUCUUUAAAGCAAGGGAUUUUUCAUUGAGCAUGGUCUAUAAUGGCUACAAUGAAACUUUAGGGGUUGUACUCAUGAACCUUUGCAGCAGACUCUCUCAGAUUGGUCAAAAUUGAUGCAGUUGGCAGUCAGCUUGAUCCUCAGCAAGUUGACAUCUGCAGAGAAAUAUGUUGCCAUGAAAUUACAGAAGGUUGAUAAUCUGGGAGGAAUAAUUUAAAGGGCAGGGCUGGGGUGUGUGUGUGUGUGUGUGCAACGUGCAAGGCGAGGGUGGUGAGGCACAGUAAGAGGUAACAAAAUGAGGAUAGAUGUGUUCGUCAGCGGGACUGGGUGGAAGUAGUAUACCACUAAUUAAUUCAAUAGAGGAAAGGCAGCUAUAGUAAUAUCAGAGUAGGCAGAGAGAGAAGAAACAACAGAUUUAUGUGCCAAUGGAAGGCCCUACUGCAGUUAGUAUCAUGUGCUGGCCAUAUAAGACAUGCUUAGUUUUUCCCCAAAAAUGUCUCAAAAAAAAAAAAAAAAAUCAGAGUCCUAUAAGCAAAGCUGGGCCUUUAUUACAUGCUUUAAUGCACUAAAAGUUUUUUCAUGAAUACACACUGAUGAAAUUAGAGUACAUCUAUAUGCCUGUGUCUUUUAUGCCAUCACAUACAGAAAAACAAAUUAAUGACUUUUAACCUAAGCACAAUGCCACAAAUUUUGAAUGAAGAGUACAGUUGAGUCAAUCACUCCCCUACCCCACCAUGUUCAAAUGGUACUAAUUUUAUUGACCUUGGAAGUAUAGAAGGCAAAGUUGAUCCUGGCAGAAUUUGAACUAAGAAUGUAACUAACUGUGUACAGCAAGUGAAUUUUGCUCAUCAUUCUACUGUUACUGCCAACUCACUACUCUAAUAAAAAUAUGAUUUCUCAUGCAAGCACAAGGUCAAAAACUGUUGUCGGAAAGCAAGUGUAGUUGAUUUAAUCAGAGUUUCAGUAUAUUACUGGUACUUAUUUAAUCAACUCUGGAAGGCUAAAGGCAAAGACAACUCUGGCAGGAUUUGAACUCAUAACAGACAGAGAACAAUGGAUAAUACAAUAACAAUAUCUAACACUGGCACAAGGCCACAAAAUAUUUUUUCAGAGGGAAGGCACAGUCAAUUAAAUCAACCCCAGUUUUUGACUGGUAUUUAUUUUAUUGGCUUUUGGAAGGAUAAAAGGCAAAAUCGAUCUUGGCAGGAAUUGAACCAACAACAUACACGUUAACAGAAAAAUAAUAAUUUCUUACUUAAACACAAGGCCACACAUUUUAGUAGGAGGGGGAGAGGACAAUGAAUUAAAAUCAAUGCCAAUAAUAAUAACAGUUUCUAAUAUAGGCACAAAGCUAAGCAUUUUGGAUGAGAGAUACAGUUAAUUAAUUAGCACCCGGUAAUUAACUAGUAAUUAUUUAAACUACUCCUAAAGUAAGAAAGACGUUCUCAACAAUACCAGGAUUUCUACUUAGGAUGUAACUAAAUAUUACAAGGUGUAUUGACCAGUGCUCUACCUAUUUUGUCAGUCAUUGUCCUUUGUUGUAAUAAUAAUUUCAAAUUUUGGCACAAGGCCAGUAAUAUCUGGGGUCAAUUACAUGGGCCCCAGUGUUCAACUGGUACUUAUUUUAUUGACCCUGAAAGGCAAAGUCAACCUCAGCGAAAUUUGAACCCAGAACAUAAAGACAGACAAAAUGCUGCUAAGCAUUUUGCCUGGCGUACCAAAGAUUCUGCCAGUUUGCCGCCUUAGAUAAUAAUAAUAAUAAUGAUGAUAAUACAAGGAAAAAAAUAUAACCAUCCUGAAAUAUAACAACAUCUGUUUCAACACAGGAUUUCACAUCAGGAAUCUUGCAAAACAAACAAUAACAAUAAUAAUAAUUCUUUGUACUGUAGGUACAAGGCCAGAAAUUAGAGGGAAGGGUGCUAGUUGAUUACUUUGAGCUCAGUGCUAAACUGGUACUUUAUUUCAUUGACCCCACAAAAGGACUAAAGGCAAAGUUGACCUUGACAGCAUUUGAACCCAGAUGAUAAAGAGCCAAAAAAAAUGCACUAAGUAUUUCGUCUGAUGGGUUAACAGUUCUGCCAGCUUACCACCCUAGUAAUAAUAGUGAAUAAUUCCUUCUAAUUUUGGCACAGCCAGGAAUUUCAAGGGGUGGGGAGGUAAGUCAAUUGCACUGACUCCCAACACUAAACUGGCACUUUAUUUUAUCAAACUUGAAAGAAUGAGUGGCAAAGUUCACCUCGGCAGGAUUUGAGCUCAGAAUGUGGAGAGCUGGAAGAUAUGCUGCUAAGUAUUUCAUCUAACAUGCUAAUGAUUCUGCCAGCUCACCACCUUAAUAGUAAUGAUAACAUCAUUUGUAACAUAAGCACAAGGCCACUAAAUAUAAAGAUAGGGUAUAUUCUUUGAGAUCAACUUGAGUACUCGGCUAGUACAUAUUUUAUCAACCGCAGAUGGUUGGAAGGCAAAGUUAAUCUCAGAAUAUAAAUGGAUCUAAUUUAAAAGUAAGGCAUAUAUAUUUUUCAUUUGGUAAUCUACAGAUUUUGCCAUAUACUGCCCUUUUCAGUAAUAAUAAUGAUUACAAUGAUAAUGGUUUUAAACCAUUAUAAUGCACAGAGGAGACUGAUACUUGAACAUAGACUGACAAAAAUAAAUAAAUAAAAUAGAAACAAAAGUCGACUGUUAUAACAGUUACCUAAUUUAUACAGUCGGAAUCGAUUAAAUAAUAACCAUCUUCAGCUAAAUACCUUUUUAAAUAAAAGGCUAUAUAUAUAUAUAUUCAUUUUUGUAAUUGGAACAAAUUAGAUUUUGGAAAUAUUAAAAAAAGUACAAGAUUUUUGCCUUUUACAAAUAAUAACAACAAGAACAAUUGUAGAGUAUUAAAAAUAAAAUCUAAAAAUAUUUUUUUAUAGUAUUUUUUGUGUAAUGUUGUAGGUAUAUUAUGACAGGUACAUACCGAAGUAUGUGUGUGUGUGUGUGUAAGUAUAUACGUGUGCAUAUAUUUCUAUUUAUCUAUCUAUCUAUCUAUAUAUAUAUAUAUAUAUAAAAUAUUAAUUCGAGACAAAACCACUAUUUUGCAAAACAAACAAGGAAAGACUUAAUCAAUACAUAAAAAUUUUAAUAUAAAAU